UACGUAGGGUGCAAGCGUUGUCCGGAUUUAUUGGGCGUAAAGAGCUCGUAGGCGGUUCGCUAAGUCGGGUGUGAAAACUCUGGCUCAACUCAGAGACGCCACCCGAUACUGCCAUGGCUAGAGUCCGGUAGGGGACCACGGAAUUCCUGGUGUAGCGGUGGAAUGCGCAGAUAUCAGGAGGAACACCGAUGGCGAAGGCAGGUCUCUGGGCCAUUACUGACGCUGAGAAGCGAAAGCAUGGGGAGCGAACAGG
rnacentral:rRNA from 1 species